GAUGAACGCUGGCGGCGUGCCUAAUACAUGCAAGUCGAGCGAACGGACGAGAAGCUUGCUUCUCUGAUGUUAGCGGCGGACGGGUGAGUAACACGUGGAUAACCUACCUAUAAGACUGGGAUAACUUCGGGAAACCGGAGCUAAUACCGGAUAAUAUUUUGAACCGCAUGGUUCAAAAGUGAAAGACGGUCUUGCUGUCACUUAUAGAUGGAUCCGCGCUGCAUUAGCUAGUUGGUAAGGUAACGGCUUACCAAGGCAACGAUGCAUAGCCGACCUGAGAGGGUGAUCGGCCACACUGGAACUGAGACACGGUCCAGACUCCUACGGGAGGCAGCAGUAGGGAAUCUUCCGCAAUGGGCGAAAGCCUGACGGAGCAACGCCGCGUGAGUGAUGAAGGUCUUCGGAUCGUAAAACUCUGUUAUUAGGGAAGAACAUAUGUGUAAGUAACUGUGCACAUCUUGACGGUACCUAAUCAGAAAGCCACGGCUAACUACGUGCCAGCAGCCGCGGUAAUACGUAGGUGGCAAGCGUUAUCCGGAAUUAUUGGGCGUAAAGCGCGCGUAGGCGGUUUUUUAAGUCUGAUGUGAAAGCCCACGGCUCAACCGUGGAGGGUCAUUGGAAACUGGAAAACUUGAGUGCAGAAGAGGAAAGUGGAAUUCCAUGUGUAGCGGUGAAAUGCGCAGAGAUAUGGAGGAACACCAGUGGCGAAGGCGACUUUCUGGUCUGUAACUGACGCUGAUGUGCGAAAGCGUGGGGAUCAAACAGGAUUAGAUACCCUGGUAGUCCACGCCGUAAACGAUGAGUGCUAAGUGUUAGGGGGUUUCCGCCCCUUAGUGCUGCAGCUAACGCAUUAAGCACUCCGCCUGGGGAGUACGACCGCAAGGUUGAAACUCAAAGGAAUUGACGGGGACCCGCACAAGCGGUGGAGCAUGUGGUUUAAUUCGAAGCAACGCGAAGAACCUUACCAAAUCUUGACAUCCUUUGACAACUCUAGAGAUAGAGCUUUCCCCUUCGGGGGACAAAGUGACAGGUGGUGCAUGGUUGUCGUCAGCUCGUGUCGUGAGAUGUUGGGUUAAGUCCCGCAACGAGCGCAACCCUUAAGCUUAGUUGCCAUCAUUAAGUUGGGCACUCUAAGUUGACUGCCGGUGACAAACCGGAGGGAGGUGGGGAUGACGUCAAAUCAUCAUGCCCCUUAUGAUUUGGGCUACACACGUGCUACAAUGGACAAUACAAAGGGCAGCGAAACCGUGAGGUCAAGCAAAUCCCAUAAAGUUGUUCUCAGUUCGGAUUGUAGUCUGCAACUCGACUACAUGAAGCUGGAAUCGCUAGUAAUCGUAGAUCAGCAUGCUACGGUGAAUACGUUCCCGGGUCU
rnacentral:rRNA from 1 species